GUCAUUGAUAGGAUUAUAACUAUUAUCUUGCUUACAAAUUCCUUUACUUGGAGACAUUUAAUAUUUUCCGGAGUUUUUAUAAUUAAAGAAAUAUACUCAUGAGUUCCUGUCAGAGUUGUUAGUCCUUAGCUUUGUCUUUGCCUUAGGCUAAAAAUUAAGACCUUGGCCUUGAAACCGUUGGCCUUGGUCUUGGCUUUGAAAAAUUUUAAGCUAAUUUAACAUUUUGUCUAUCAAUAGUGGUCAGGUUAAGAGCAUUAUUUGUCAAGUUUAAAAGUACCCUUACAAAAAAACCCAGCGAACUUCCAGCGAAAGUUCGCUGGAAAUUAAAAGAUCACUGGAAAUUUACUAAGAUCGCUGGAUUUCCAUGGAAACAAAAGACUUCGCUGGAAGUUCGCUGGAAAUCCAACGAAAAACUUCCAGCGAUCUUAAAGUUCGCUGGAAGUUUACUGGGUUUCUUGCGAAAUAUUUCGCGGUGAUGUAAAAAGCGUUGCUGUUACAACUUCUGCAAGCAGUUAAAACUUGGAAAAUUGAUAAUAUAGCUUCUUAAAAUAAUAUUUCAAAUUUUUGUAUAAAAGUAAUCCUUUUUAUUUUAUUUUUUGCAUCUAGUAGAUGAUCUAUAGUGUGAGUUUCAAUUAUUAUUAGUUCUACUCAAGUUACAAAACAAAAUCAUCUGCUCUAAAGACCCAAACCGAAAAGAAUGCCUAAAGUGGUUUUCAAAAGAUGAAUUGACGAAUUUCUUAAUUCUUUUUGUUUCGUUGUGAUAAUUUGUCGUAUGAGGACGCUAACGAGAAAAAACUUUUUAAAUAUAGAAACAUGCGUAAUAUAAAGUUUACUUAUGCCUAUAAAAAAAUAUGUUUUACAUUAAUUAAUAAAUUAACUUUUUAGUUUCUUGUUAUAAAUUGUAUUCUGUAUUGAAGUUUAUUUCUGAGAAUUUGUAAUUAUACCUAAGAUAAUCUAAUCCUACAUUGUAUUUUAAUUUAUAAAACUCGAUAUUUUAAAAUAAAUAUAUUACUUUUUUAUCGCG